rnacentral:rRNA from 1 species
AUGUGUGCUGUGUGUGCCAACUUUCCAAUACAUUUGUGUAUUUAUGUGAUUUCAUAUUAUUUUUUCAUUGCAUAUUCUAACUACUUAUGCUGUUUAAUUAUUAGGUCUGGAAUGUUGCCAAUGUCGAGCCCUCCAGCAAAUCCAGGACAGCUUACCAUUUUUUAUGGUGGGUCAGUAUGUGUGUAUGACUCAGUGCCACCAGAGAAGGCUCAAGCAAUCAUGCUCAUUGCAGCAGCAGCAGCUGCGGCCUCAAAAAGCAAUGGCACCGCUGCUGUUAAGCCUCCAGCGAUGUCUGCGACCAAUGCUAUCCAAGCCAUGCUUACGCGGUCGCUCUCACUUCAGAGCACUUCUGUAGCAAAUGGACAACCUCAGGCUGUCGCGGAUCCUGGCUCGAUUUGCAAGCUUCAGGCUGAUCUUCCCAUCGCCAGGAGACACUCCCUUCAGCGCUUCCUGGAGAAGCGCCGUGACAGGGUGGUGAGCAAAGCUCCUUACGGCGCCGGGAAACCGUCCGAAGGCAUGGGAGCAUCUUCUGGGAUGGAAGCGGUUGCGGAGGGCAAGGCCCAGUAA